GAUCAUGGCUCAGGAUGAACGCUAGCGACAGGCUUAACACAUGCAAGUCGAGGGGCAGCGAGGGAGUGACAACACUUCUGUCGGCGACCGGCGCACGGGUGAGUAACGCGUAUGCAACCUGCCCUUCACAGGGGGAUAACCGGGAGAAAUUCCGACUAAUACCGCAUACGUCCUCCGGGGGCAUCCCCGGGGGAUGAAAGAAUUAUCGGUGAAGGACGGGCAUGCGUGAUAUUAGGUAGUUGGCGGGG
rnacentral:rRNA from 1 species